AAGUUUAAGAGCAUGAGUGCUAAAGAAAUCAAUAAACAGUGUGAAAGGCUAGUCUAAGUAUUUUCAGGAUCUGACAAAUGGUUUGGGAAGUGAAGUUCACCAUCUGAAGAAAAUCUACAACGCCACUUUUCAAAACAAUUUAAGGCCUUUGAACCUAUUUAAUGUAAUCUACAACAUGAAACUGCAAACUAGUUUUGGUGAAAUUUGCUUAUCCAUUAAGAUCUUUUGCAGACUGCCUGUGAUUGUUGCUGAGGAUGAAAGAACUUUCAGUAAACGUCAGGUCAAAAGCUUUCUCCAAUCCACUGUGUGUCAGGACUGAUUGAACAAAUUUGCCAUUCUGUCAAUUGAAUGUGACUUGCUUGCAAAAUUCACUUCAAAGACAUAAUUCACGACUUUGCAAAUAAGAAAGCACAACGGUGUGUUCUGUAUUACAGCUUAGGAAGCCACCAAAGGACCAGGGAAGGAGAAAGGACAACCAUACAGAUGAUGCGGUAUCCUUCCACAAUGCCACCCUUACUCAGCUCAUCAACAGCAAAAUACUGAAGAAACAUCGCAACUGUCCAUGGUAUACCCUCGAACUCUGACUGCUAAAGUCUGCCUGCCAUCAUAGCAUUUUUCUUGACCGUCUUCAGAAGUAUGCUGGGAUCUCUGUCUCUCCUGGCUGUCCUCUUACCUAUCUGGACACAC